CUUGAACUUUAUAAGAGGUCCAGCCUGCCCAGUGACUCUGUUCAACGGCCGCGGUAUCCUAACCGUGCGAAGGUAGCGUAAUCACUUGUUCUUUAAAUGUGGACUAGUAUGAAUGGCACUACGAGGGUUAUACUGUCUCCUUUUUCUAAUCAGUGAAACUAAUUUUCCCGUGAAGAAGCGGGAAUACAACUAUAAGACGAGAAGACCCUAUGGAGCUUUAAACAACCUAGCAAUUACUUCUAAAAUUAUAAAUUUCAGAAUACUCACUUUUUAAGCAAUAUGUCUGCAAGUUUUUGGUUGGGGUGACCAUGGAGAAUAACACAACCUCCAUAUUGAAUGAAUUUUUAUUCUAAGCUAAGAAUUACUAAUUAAAGCAUCAACACACUGACAUUUAUUGACCCA
rnacentral:rRNA from 1 species